GAUACGGGUUUUGCUCUCUAUGAC
rnacentral:siRNA from 1 species